UUUAUUUCUUUUUUUUUCUUCUCUCUCUCUCUCUCUCUCUCUCUUUCUCUCUCUCUCUCUACAAUAAAAUAAAACAGUUUCGUCUUAGUUGUGACUUUGUGUUUAGAAGAAAAAAUAAAGUAAAACAAAAAAAGAAAAAAGAAAAAGAAAAGGAAAGGAAGAACAAGGGAAUGAACGAUAUUCUGGUGUUGUGGGCGUAUAUUUAUAUACGUGUAUGUGUGUUAUAUCGAAGUGUGUAGUGUAGCUCUGUGUGUGUGUGUGUGUGUGUGCGCGCGUGUUCUCUCGGUCUUUAUAUCGAGGAAAAAAUCUACGUAGAUGCUGCAACCGGUUACCGAAGAGACUUG